CUGAAUAGGAACAACCAACGGGGGCGUUGCUGGGGGGCGUGUCCGUGCGCGAGCUCGACCCAGUUUGAAAGAGAAGCAGAUCUGCAGUCGCUGCUUCAACUCAACAACACCAACACCUGAGAACCAGAGAGAACCAGAGACCAUCAGCCUGCAGCUCCUCAGAGCCGCCAGUAUGAUGCGCAAAGAUGUAAACAAGCCAAAGGGGAAGACGUCGGCGUACGCCUUCUUCGUCCAGACGUGUCGGGAGGAGCAUCGUAAGAAGCACCCAGAGCAGUCGGUCAACUUCGCCGAGUUCUCCAAGAAGUGCUCCGAGAGGUGGAAGGGUCUGACGGCCAACGAUAAGAAGUGUUUCGAGGACAUGGCGAAGGCGGACAAGGUACGCUACAACCGUGAGAUGAGCGACUACAUCCCCCCCAAAGGCUUCGGCAAGAGGGGCCGCAAGAGGAAAGAUCCCAACGCCCCCAAGAGACCCCCCUCUGCGUUCUUUGUGUUCUGCAGUGAGUACCGGCCCAGUGUGAAGCAGCAGUUCCCGGGUCUCUCUAUAGGAGACUGUGCCAAGAAGCUGGGGGAAAUGUGGAGCAAGCAGAGCCAGUCUGAGAAGCUGCCUUACGAGGAGAAGGCCCAGAAACUGAGAGAGAAAUACGACCGGGUGAGACAACCUGCAGAGAGACAGAGUGAGACAGCGAGAGAGAGACAGAUAGAGCCAGUCUGAGAAGCUGCCUUACGAGGAGAAGGCCCAGAAACUGAGAGAGAAAUACGACCGGGACAUGGUGGCGUACCGUGGCGGUGGCACUACGUACGCCAGGACCCCUGGAUCCUCAACCCAGGCGGGGGGGGAGGACGAUGACGACGAGGGGGAGGAUGACGACGAUGACGACGAAGAGGACGAGUAGACAGAUAGAGUGAGACUUGUAGGUGUGUGUGUUUCAGAGCAGACAGACAGGUGAACACAUAUCCUGCCUCCUGUGGCUCCGCCUCUUCUGAGACAGACAGACAGGUGGCUGACUUUAAUCACGCUGACAUAUUAAUACUUCAGUCAUCAUUAUAAUGGGUAUAACAGACAGACAGGUUACAGACAGACAGCAACUCUGAAACACACACACUGGACCUCUGUGUGUGUGUGUGUGUGUGUGUGUGUGUGAGGUCGUCAGAUGUUAAACUGCCCCCCCUCACAGUCACCAUGGUUACCCCCCCUCUUCUUCAUGUUUUUUUAUUUCCUGUUCACUGUCAGUAGAAACUCAACUUUUAUAAUAAAACGGCCGAGGGAAAACACA